AAGUGGCGAAAGGGGCAGUAAGGCGUGGGUAACCUACCCCGGGGACGGGCAUAGCCGUCCUAACGGACGGGUAAUUCUCGGCGAUUCGGCGAGGGGGCAUCUCCUUGUCGGGAAAUGAGUUUCGCCUCGGGAGGGGCUCACGUAGUAUUAGCUUGUUGGUGAGGUAACGGCUCACCAAGGCGAAGAUGCUUAGCGGGUGUGAGAGCACGACCCGCGCCACUGGCACUGAGACACUGGCCAGACUCCUACGGGAGGCUGCAGUCGAGGAUCUUCGGCAAUGGGCGCAAGCCUGACCGAGCGACGCCGCGUGUGCGAAGAAGGCCUUCGGGUUGUAAAGCACUGUCGAGGGGGAGAAAGCCGCAAGGUUGAUCGACCCCUGGAGGAAGCACGGGCUAAGUUCGUGCCAGCAGCCGCGGUAAGACGAACCGUGCAAACGUUGUUCGGAUUCACUGGGCUUAAAGGGCGCGUAGGCGGGUUCUCAAGUCGGUGGUGGAAUCUUUCGGCUCAACCGGAAAAUUGCCUCCGAUACUGGGGACCUCGAGGGAGGUAGGGGCAUGCGGAACUUCGGGUGGAGCGGUGAAAUGCGUAGAUAUCCGAAGGAACGCCGGUGGCGAAAGCGGCGUGCUGGACCUCUUC
rnacentral:rRNA from 1 species